rnacentral:rRNA from 1 species
GGGAACUACGAGCCAAGCUUAAAACCCAAAGGACUUGACGGUACCCCAUAUCCCCCUAAAGGAGCCUGUCCUAUAAUCGAUAACCCCCGUUUAACCUCACCAUUUCUAGCAACUCAGCCUGUAUACCUCCGUCGUCAGCUUACCACGUGAGCGCUAGUGAGCUCAAUGUUUUUUCAACUAAACGUCAGGUCAAGGUGCCACACAUGAAGGGGGNAAGAGAUGGGCUACACUUUCUAAAAAUAUAUCACACGGAAGACUAACUAUGAAAUCUAGUUUGAAAGGGAGGAUUUAGAAAUUAAAACGCACCCAGAAAAUCCCUUUUUUAACCUGGGCACCGGGGGUGGGGUAACACCGCCCGGUCACAGUCCUUCAUGGUGAUCAAAGA